rnacentral:misc_RNA from 1 species
UAAGUGCUUUAAAGCCAAAAUCACUUUAUUAACACUUUUGUGGUGUUUGGGUAAAAUAAGAAAGUGCUUUUAAGCACCUUUUGUUAAGCUAAAAAGACAAAAUAAGCUAAAAUCCAUAAGUGAGAAUUACUAACUUAUGAGUCAAAAGCUAUAAGCUCAUCCAAAUAGGCUCUAGAGUUUGCUUAUCGGUUGAUUCGAUUCAUUUUUUAUAUGUUAUCCGUUCGGUUUAUCGGUUAUCGA